UUAAAGCAACAAAAAAAAAAAAAAAAAAAAAAAAAAAAAAAUAAAAAAAAA
rnacentral:rRNA from 1 species